rnacentral:tRNA from 1 species
GCCACCGUAGCGAUGAGGUUAUCAUGUCUGCCUAUGACGCUGAACACCUAGGUUCGAGUCCUGGCGUUGGUU